rnacentral:rRNA from 1 species
CAACUACGUGCCAGCAGCCGCGGUAAGACGUAGGGCGCAAGCGUUGUCCGGAUUUAUUGGGCGUAAAGAGCUCGUAGGCGGCUUGUCGCGUCGACUGUGAAAACCCGUGGCUCAACUGCGGGCUUGCAGUCGAUACGGGCAGGCUAGAGUUCGGUAGGGGAGACUGGAAUUCCUGGUGUAGCGGUGAAAUGCGCAGAUAUCAGGAGGAACACCGGUGGCGAAGGCGGGUCUCUGGGCCGAUACUGACGCUGAGGAGCGAAAGCGUGGGGAGCGAACAGGAUUAGAUACCCUGGUAGUCCACGCUGUAAACGUUGGGCGCUAGGUGUGGGGGGCCUCUCCGGUUCUCUGUGCCGCAGCUAACGCAUUAAGCGCCCCGCCUGGGGAGUACGGCCGCAAGGCUAAAACUCAAAGGAAUUGACGGGGGCCCGCACAAGCGGCGGAGCAUGCGGAUUAAUUCGAUGCAACGCGAAGAACCUUACCUGGGUUUGACAUCGCCGGAAAUCCUUCAGAGAUGGGGGGUCCUUCGGGGCCGGU